AGUGAACGCUGGCGGUAGGCCUAACACAUGCAAGUCGAACGGCAGCACAGUAAGAGCUUGCUCUUACGGGUGGCGAGUGGCGGACGGGUGAGGAAUACAUCGGAAUCUACUUUUUCGUGGGGGAUAACGUAGGGAAAUUUACGCUAAUACCGCAUACGACCUACGGGUGAAAGCAGGGGAUCUUCGGACCUUGCGCGAUUGAAUGAGCCGAUGUCGGAUUAGCUAGUUGGCGGGGUAAAGGCCCACCAAGGCGACGAUCCGUAGCUGGUCUGAGAGGAUGAUCAGACACACUGGAACUGAGACACGGUCGAGACUCCUACGGGAGGCAGCAGUGGGGAAUAUUGGACAAUGGGCGCAAGCCUGAUCCAGCCAUACCGCGUGGGUGAAGAAGGCCUUCGGGUUGUAAAGCCCUUUUGUUGGGAAAGAAAAGCAGCAGGUUAAUACCCCGCUGUUCUGACGGUACCCAAAGAAUAAGCACCGGCUAACUUCGUG
rnacentral:rRNA from 1 species